GUCCUAGACCAGGUGGCCUAAUGACGGAUUCUGCAGAAGUGAAACCGUCCUUCUGAGGGAGGCAAAAAGGGCCCUGGGACAGAGCCCGCACAGGAGCCCUCAGCGUCCAGCCGCUGCUGUCCGAGCAAUGCUGGAGGAGCCUCCGGGCCUCCCUGAGCCCCACGUGCCCAGCUCCGCUGCAAGCAGGAUGUUUGGUGUUCUUCCUGGCUCACAGAGAACAGCCAGCCAGCAGGCCGCCCCUCCCGUGGACGGGUGAGGGCUCAGAAGGCCAGUCCAGGCCCCUCCAGAACCAGAACAGCUCUGGCAAACACUCG
ensembl:lncRNA